GUUUGCUGCUGCAGUCCACCAAAACAAGUGUGACACAGAUCUCUAUGUUGACGGCGGUGUACUUUGCAAUUACCCGCUUCACUGUUUCGAUGGUUGGUAUCUCUCAAUGUCUCCUGACGAUACCUUCUUACAAAAGAUGGCGCCAUUGAACAAUCUUCGCCAACUGAUGUUGGAAAGAUUUAAGGAAACAAAUUUGAACAGUUUAGGUUUCAAACUGUAUGAUGCCCAGGAGUCAGAGAUCUUACGCUUUGACCUAGAACAACGAGUAGGCUCCCAUGAUCCACCUGCACCAUCCAAAAAG
rnacentral:sRNA from 1 species